rnacentral:RNase_P_RNA from 2 species
GAAGCUGACCAGACAGUCGCCGCUUCGUCGUCGUCCUUUCGGGGAGACGGGCGGAGGGGAGGAAAGUCCGGGCUCCAUAGGGCAGGGUGCCAGGUAACGCCUGGGGGGGAAACCCACGACCAGUGCAACAGAGAGCAAACCGCCGAUGGCCCACGUAAGUGGGAUCAGGUAAGGGUGAAAGGGUGCGGUAAGAGCGCACCGCGCGGCUGGUAACAGUCCGUGGCACGGUAAACUCCACCCGGAGCAAGGCCAAAUAGGGGUUCAUAAGGUACGGCCCGUACUGAACCCGGGUAGGCUGCUUGAGCCAGUGAGCGAUCGCUGGCCUAGAUGAAUGACUGUCCACGACAGAACCCGGCUUAUCGGUCAGUUUCAC